CUCUCUAUAAACGUUGUUUUCUUCUCUUUUCCUCUCUGCUCUCUUUUCUUCGUCUCAUGCAGGUAUUUUUUGAUUUGAUGCGCGAAAUAAGAUCCCGCAAAACCGAAGAUUCGAAAGCGACUAGUGGGCGUGCUAAAGACAGAUGCAAGAAGCGGAGACUUAAGUGUACACUACUUUAGGCGUAUUUCUAGGUGCAUAAGCCAGACUUUAAGCCAAUAAUAAAAAAAAAUUAAACAAACAAAAAAAAAAACAGAAAAAUGCGAAAACAAAAACAAAUACACUCAUGAACAAAUACAAUGGUAAAGAAGCGAACAAAGCAAAAUAAAAGCCCCUAACUCUACUUUCCCCAUCCACAAAGACAUCACAUCGAAUUGAUAACAAUACCUAGCUGAUAUACAUAUGAAAUGUGUAACUACAGAAAUCCUAACCGAAAUAUGUACUGAGAAAAUCGUUUGUAGUAUUUUAUGAUCUAAUCAGGGAUAUUUCAUCACGAAAGAAGCAACGUCAGUCCGAUGUGCGACAGCCGCCAAAAACCAAAUCUCACUGCUGCCAACUGCUCUAAUAAUCAUGAGAGAGAAAUAAAAUCAAAACUGAAAAUUACAAAAAUGUAACGACGCCGCUGAAUACAAGCUAUAAAUGCCGAUAAUAACUAUGAAAAUGACGACGAAUGUAUAAAAAAAAAACAAUACUAUAUACAAAAAACUACAGUCCUGCAGGAAGAGAAAGAAGAACUUUUGAAAAAAAAAACGAAGAUAAAAAUGCUAUGCGAAAUAUGCGCGAGCGCAUCGCGGACAAGCUGUUGCAUAGAAAAGCAAAAACAACUCAAUUUAUGCAUAGAUUUGUAAAAAAAGAAACUCUGAAGCACAUAUAUGUACAUGCGACUGUAUUUGUAGGAGAAAAAGCAAUUACAUAUAAACCCAAUUCACGCAUUGUAUUGUAUUGCAUUCAAAAUAAGAAAAAAAUGAAGAAACAACCAAAAUAUACUACAUACUUACAUAAACCUUGCAGACUUUAUUAAUCAUAUACCUAUAUAUACAGCAUAUGUAUUAUUAAAAAAACAAGCGCAUACAUACAUACAUACAUACAUACAUGCUUACUUACUUACAUCCGUACAUACCAAUUUCAAAUCAAUCUACAUAAGUUUCAAUUUGUAUUGUAAAUUAAGCUUAAGCCGAACACAAUAUGUUUUAUAGACAUAGUACAUACAUGCCUAUGUUUUACGUGUAUUGUGUACAGAAAUAAACUGCUCUUUUCAAUUGUAAAAAAAA
rnacentral:lncRNA from 1 species